UACGUAGGGGGCGAACGUUGUCCGGAUUUACUGGGUGUAAAGGGUGCUCAGGCGGUCUUGUAAGUCAGAGGUGAAAUCUCAAGGCUUAACCUUGAAACUGCCUUUGAUACUGCUGGGCUUGAGUACGGAAGAGGCGGAUGGAAUUCCUGGUGUAGCAGUGAAAUGCGUAGAUAUCAGGAGGAACACCGGUGGCGAAGGCGGUCCGCUGGUCCGUUACUGACGCUAAAGCACGAAAGCGUGGGGAGCAAACAGG
rnacentral:rRNA from 1 species